rnacentral:rRNA from 1 species
UACGGAGGGUGCAAGCGUUAUCCGGAUUCACUGGGUUUAAAGGGAGCGUAGGCGGGCAUUUAAGUCCGUGGUGAAAGCCCUCAGCUCAACUGAGGAACUGCCAUGGAUACUAAGUGUCUUGAAUAUCGUUGAGGUUUGCGGAAUGGGUCAUGUAGCGGUGAAAUGCAUAGAUAUGACCCGGAACACCAAUUGCGAAGGCAGCAGGCUAAACGAAGAUUGACGCUGAGGCUCGAAAGCGUGGGGAUCAAACAGG